rnacentral:misc_RNA from 1 species
AGAGAGAGCUGCUGGAAUGUACUCUGCCUUGCCCUAUGCCUUUGCACAUGUCCUCAUUGAGCUACCAUAUAAUUUUGUGCAAGCUUUGAUAUAUGGUGUUAUAGUCUAUACAAUGGUUGGUUUUGAAUUGACUACUGUGAAAUUCUUUUGGUAUUUAUUCUUCAUGUACUUCACAUUUUUGUACUUCACCUUCUAUGGCAUGAUGGCUGUGGGUGUAUCACCAAACCACCACAUCUCGUCUAUAAUUUCUUCCGCAUUUUAUGCAAUAUGGAACCUAUUUUCCGGAUUCAUAAUCCCAAGACCAGUAAGUUCUUUCAAGCAUAAUUCCUUUUCCAUACUACAUUUCUAAUGUGCAUAGUUAUGAUGUUCUUUAAUUUUGUUCUUUCAUUUCUCCACCUGCUAUAAAACAGAGGAUGCCUGCAUGGUGUUCAUGGUACUAUUGGAUAUGUCCAGUAGCUUGGACCUUAUACGGAUUGGUUACAUCACAGUUUGGAGAUAUAAAGGAGACGCUUGAAAUAGGUGAAACAGUGGAACAUUUCGUGGCGGAUUAUUUCGGUUUCAAACACGAUUUCCUGGGAUUAGUUGCAGCUGUGAUUUUUGGAUUUGCCAUACUUUUUGCAUUUACUUUUGCAGUUUCUGUUAAGCUGUUUAAUUUCCAGAGUCGAUGAAAAUCUGCUCUGAUGUUGUAUAUUAUAGGCUAACUUGUCAAGUUCUUUUACCCCUUUCCAAUCACAUUCAGCAAAAAUCUUGUUAUGUGUUGGAAAUUAAAUAAAUUCAAAUCAAAAGGUCUAAAUUAAUUCGAUCAAAAAGUAUAACUUAGAUCUAAUUGAACAUAUAUGGAGCUUAAAUUAUUCCAUUUUUUUUAAUUGCUUAUUUAAUUAGCAUGGUCUUGUUCAUGAAAAUGAAAGCAUUUAUUUAUUUAUUU